GGGAGCUUGCUCCUGGAUUCAGCGGCGGACGGGUGAGUAAUGCCUAGGAAUCUGCCUGGUAGUGGGGGAUAACGUCCGGAAACGGGCGCUAAUACCGCAUACGUCCUGAGGGAGAAAGUGGGGGAUCUUCGGACCUCACGCUAUCAGAUGAGCCUAGGUCGGAUUAGCUAGUUGGUGGGGUAAAGGCCUACCAAGGCGACGAUCCGUAACUGGUCUGAGAGGAUGAUCAGUCACACUGGAACUGAGACACGGUCCAGACUCCUACGGGAGGCAGCAGUGGGGAAUAUUGGACAAUGGGCGAAAGCCUGAUCCAGCCAUGCCGCGUGUGUGAAGAAGGUCUUCGGAUUGUAAAGCACUUUAAGUUGGGAGGAAGGGCAGUAAGUUAAUACCUUGCUGUUUUGACGUUACCAACAGAAUAAGCACCGGCUAACUUCGUGCCAGCAGCCGCGG
rnacentral:rRNA from 1 species